UUGGUACCCACCCCCAAGAAAAAUGGCGACUUCCGCCGUACACGGUGGUAAUAGCGGUGUUGGUGGAGAAGACAUAAAAUUCAUUCUCCCUGUCUUGCGAGCUGAGUAUUGCUAUGGAGGUGGGUUCAUUGUGAACUUGAAAUUUUGAAGGAGAAACUGAUUUUGCUGAAAAAGCAAGUUAUGGCGAAGGCACACUCACGCCUCUGUUCUCUAAUUGACCAUUACCUCCGUUCUUAUACUGUAAGCUCACUUGUUCUGUCUAUUUUUUUUUCCGCAGAAAUUGAAAUUCUACUCCACUGCAGGAAAAUGGGUCUGCUUCUGUAACCAAAGAAAUGGAGAAAGAACUUUUAAUUGCUCUCUCAACUGGUUUAUACAGAAAUUAAGAGGUGGGUGAAGGAAUAUGAGUCCCACGACAGCUUUGACAUGGAGGGUUUCUGUUGGUGGAGGUCGAAUAAUUCAUGCGUCACAUGCUGCUAAUCAUCAUUGUUUAACUAAUGUUAUUGUGUUCUUGGUAAGUUUUUU